GUUAACUUGAGACUCUGAAGUAGUUGUACAAGAUCCUACAUUGCUAUCAGAAAAAAAAUUAAUCUUCCAGUCAAGGACAUUGAUACAAGCGGAGGCACUUAAACCUGUGUUGAAAUCCUGUGAACCAUCACUGAUCGAAAUGGUUACAGAAGAAUGAACAUCAUCUGGAAGAAUACUGUUUGUUUUGUACAAAUGUGACGUCCCCACACAUGUUUAUGCAAUGAUGAUAAUAAAAUUUUGCUUUGGAGGUGCAA